AAAAGCCUUCAAUGGCCAAGGAGAGACCACAAUGCACUGUGAAUCCAAGAUGGCGUCUUCAGUCUCGAAAGGUCGUGUGUAGUCGUGUGAUAGUAGUUGAAGAGAAGCAAAUGAUAUUUUGAAUAUAAGUUUAUUCUACAAUUUAAAACAAAUUAAAUACAACAGAACUAUUAAAACGGAAAAUGAACCAUAUUACAGUUAAAUAUAAGCCUAACUUUCUUUAAUAAAAUGUUUCAAAUAAAUUAGAACAUACUGCGAGCACGCAAACAAACAUAAUUUAUAAAAUUAACGAUUCCUCUAACGAACAUGACAGUUCCAUAUUUUAUAUAAACCUUGUGCCCAUCUCUCUAGUGCUGACAGCCAUAUUUAAUUACGAGCUAUAGCUAAUGUAAAUAGUCUAUUUUACAUAAUAUUGUUUCUUCUAUUUCUUCGAGAUAUCCUGGGAGGGGAAAGUUUCCUUUUUUAAGUCCGGAGCAUGCAAAAACUGUGCAUAUAUGUUCCUUUAUUAUAUAGUUGAGAGUAAGAUACUGAAAA